AACCUAGUCUCAGUUCGGAUCGGAGUCUGCAACCCGACNCCGUGAAGCUGGAUUCGCUAGUAAUCGCGCAUCAGCCAUGGCGCGGUGAAUACGUUCCCGGGCCUUGUACACACCGCCCGUCAAGCCAUGGGAGCCGGGAGUGCCUGAAGUCCGUGACCGCGAGGAGCGGCCUAGGGUAAGACCGGUGACUGGGGCUAAGUCGUAACAAGGUAGC
rnacentral:rRNA from 1 species